AACAAGGCGUACCUGCGGACCUGCGGAGGGAUCAUUACACAUAUAAAGUAUGCCUGGGAAAAUUCGAAAGAAAAGUACCCAGGCGUAUUCUUAUACCCAUGUCUUUUGCGUACUACUUGUUUCCUUGGUGGGCUUGCCUGCCAUUAGGACACCCCUACAAACCUUUUGUAAUUGCAGUCAGCGUCAAAAAAUAACGUAAUCGUUACAACUUUCAACAACGGAUCUCAGAUCGGAAGAGCA
rnacentral:misc_RNA from 1 species